GUGACGGCAGCAAUCCUGCGAGACGGCAGGCGCCUACCUGCGGACAUGCCAAGGAGUACCGCGCCACGCUCGAGUUCUACUGGGCGCCCUUCCUCGUCGAGUCCAACUCUAACAACCCCAACUUCCACAGUACCAAGGAAUAGAUCGUCAGUCCCGAGCGGAUCGAGACGCACGCCAAUCGAGACGCACGCCAAGCAAUGUCAUUUUCGCUUAGCCUCUUGUGCUGCUGGUGGGGGAUUAAGAACUACUGCAGAAUGUGUUAAGAUAGCGAUUGGUUAUUCGGACUUGCUGGAAGCUCGUGGUCUAUCACUUUCGUCAGUUCUGAUGAAGCAAUUCAGACCCUCUGUUGAGCAAGCAUUAGAUUCCAAUUUGAGGAGAAUUGAAGAGAGUACUGCUGCUUUAGCUGCAGCUGAUGACUGGAUACUCACCUAUCCUCCAACGGGUAUACGUCCACUGGCUAGAUCAUCUGGUAAUCUGGCACUCCAGCCGAAGCUCUCAAGCAGUGCUCACCGUUUCAAUUCAAUGGUUCAGGAUUUCUUUGGGGAUGUUGGACCACUGGUUAGCUUACAGCUAGGUGGUUCCGCGAUGGAUGGGCUUCUGAAAAUAUUCAACUCGUAUGUAAACUUGCUCAUAAUGGAAACUGGUUGUUGUAAGUCCGCGGCAACUGGCCGAAUGUAAUUGAGGAGCAUCAUCUAAGUACUCGGGGAACUCUCAGGUAAACGACAUCCUGGACAUUGGCUGCUCUGUUGGAGUAAGCACCAGAUACCUCACCGAGAAGUUCCCAUCAGCUCAAGCUGUUGGGCUCGACCUAUCACCGUACUUUCUUGUUGUGGCGGCACAAAAGGAAGAAAAACUGUCACGGCCAAAGCCUAUUCGCUAGGUUCAUGCCAAUGGUGAAGCGACCGAGCUGUCUUCAGAUUUAUUUAACCUUGUCUCCCUUGCUUAUGUGGUCUAUAAUGCAUCAAACAAUGAGCUUGUGAGGACUCAGACUCUUGUGAAGAGCGCCAUUGUACAAGUUGAUGCUGCACCAUUCAAGCACUGGUACCUCACUCACUAUGGAGUGGACAUCAGUAGGAAGAAGGUGCCUGUCGCUAAGAAGGAUGCGACAUUGGUCAAGAUAUUCGAUUUGAGCUUCAUUUACGUCUUUUUCUUACCAAAUUUAUACUAUCUAGCUAGAGCUUGUUGUUAUUUUUACGUGACAUGUUUAGAUAACUAUUGCCAACUGCGGUGGUAAAGCAAACGGGCAUAUGUGACCUGUCAAUACGACAUUGGUCAAGUAAAUGGCCACAUCAAUAAAAAAUAUACAUUGUGGUGCAUAAAAAUUAAUUGAAUGGAUGUAUCAUAUAUUUGUAUCCCAUAUUUAUGUCUA